GAAAGGCUAGACCGAGAACUGCUAAUUCCUCGGAACCAUGGUUCAACUCCAUGGCCCGCUCA
rnacentral:tRNA from 1 species